CGCCUGUUUAUCAAAAACAUCUCUUCUCGUUAGUUUUUGAAGUAUGGCCUGCCCACUGACCUUGAAUGUUGAAGGGCCGCGGUAUUUUGACCGUGCAAAGGUAGCAUAGUCAUUAGUUCUUUAAUUGUGAUCUGGUAUGAAUGGCUUGACGAGGCAUGAGCUGUCUUAAUUUUGAAUUGUUUAUUGAAUUUGGUCUUUGAGUUAAAAUUCUUAGAUGUUUUUAUGGGACGAGAAGACCCUAUAGAGUUUUACAUUUAUUAUGGUCUCUUUCUGUUUGUGAGGGUUCACUAGGGCUGUUUAAUAUGUUUUGUUGGGGUGAUGGGAGGGAUAUUGUUUAACCCCUCCUUUGUGUUGUUAUAUUUAUUUAUAUUUGCUUGAUCCAUUUAUUUUGAUUGUAAGAUUAAAUUACCUUAGGGAUAACAGCGUAA
rnacentral:rRNA from 1 species